UCGUACAACGGAGGCGCAAAGGUUGUCGCUGACCCUUUCAAAGGUCGUGCACGCCCGAGCGUCUUUGAAUACAAUCCAUCUCACACAUUGUGCACAACCGCGUGGGGUCUCUCUUUCGGCUCGUCCGGAGGGGAGGCUCGCGUUUUUCCAUACAAACACCUCUCUAGUUAAUGAAUGUCAUUAGUUUGCGAUUGUACGCAACCAAUA
rnacentral:misc_RNA from 1 species